rnacentral:rRNA from 1 species
UACGUAGGGUGCGAGCGUUGUCCGGAAUUAUUGGGCGUAAAGGGUAGGUAGGUGGUCUCAUUUGUCUGGGGUGAAAGCCUUGAGCUUAACUCAAGAAGUGCCCCGGAAACGGUGAGACUGGAGUCCUGGAGAGGGUCGUGGAAUUCCCGGUGUAGCGGUGAAAUGCGUAGAGAUCGGGAGGAACACCAGAGGCGAAGGCGGCGACCUGGACAGGCACUGACACUCAACUACGAAAGCGUGGGGAGCAAACAGG